rnacentral:rRNA from 1 species
GACGAACGCUGGCGGCGGGCCUAACACAUGCAAGUCGAGCGAGCGGCGGACGGGUGAGUAAUGUAUGGGGACUGCCCGAUAGAGGGGGAUAACUACUGGAAACGGUGGCUAAUACCGCAUACUAUCGGAUAACCCAUAUGGGAUUAGCUAGUGGGUGGGGUAAAGGCUCACCUAGGCGACGAUCUCUAGCUGGUCUGAGAGGAUGAUCAGCCAAACUGGGACUUAGAAACGGCCCAGACUCCGACGGAGGCAGCAGUGGGGAAUAGUGCACAAUGGGGGCAAGCCUGAUUCAGCCAUGCCGCGGGUAUGAAAAAGGCCUUAGGGUUGUAAAGUACUUUCAGCAGGGAGGCGUUACCCGUAGAAGAAGCACCGGCUAACUCCGUGCCAGCAGCCGCGGUAAUAC